GACGAACGCUGGCGGCGUGCUUAACACAUGCAAGUCGAACGGAAAGGCCCUGCCUUUGUGGGGUGCUCGAGUGGCGAACGGGUGAGUAACACGUGAGUAACCUGCCCUUGACUUUGGGAUAACUUCAGGAAACUGGGGCUAAUACCGGAUAGGAGCUCCUGCUGCAUGGUGGGGGUUGGAAAGUUUCGGCGGUUGGGGAUGGACUCGCGGCUUAUCAGCUUGUUGGUGGGGUAGUGGCUUACCAAGGCUUUGACGGGUAGCCGGCCUGAGAGGGUGACCGGCCACAUUGGGACUGAGAUACGGCCCAGACUCCUACGGGAGGCAGCAGUGGGGAAUAUUGCACAAGGGGCGGAAGCCUGAUGCAGCAACGCCGCGUGCGGGAUGACGGCCUUCGGGUUGUAAACCGCUUUCGCCUGUGACGAAGCGUGAGUGACGGUAAUGGGUAAAGAAGCACCGGCUAACUACGUG
rnacentral:rRNA from 1 species